GCUCCCCGAGCACCGAGCUCGUCAUGGCGGCGAACGAUCAGCCGGCGGCGGUGCCCCAUGAGGUGGCUAGGCCGCCACCAUCCUCCACCCCAUCAACUUCCCCAUCCUCCACACUUGUAACUUUCUGGCGGUUGAUGCGGGAGAGAGCAGGCGUCAUAUGAGGAUGGGGAUCUUGACCGAGGCAGAGAAGCAGCAAAAGGAAGAGGUGAACUGGAAGCCGAUUCUUCUCCGGCCACCGACCUCACGUCGCAGAUCACGGGCCGCCGCCGCAUCGCGCGAGGUGGCGAGUCUCUGCCACCGUCCAUGCUCCUCUUCAUGGACUUCUCCUCAUGGCUGAGCUAUGUCGCUUCUCCUCAUUAAGAUUCGGCCUCUUCCUCCCCCACAACUGAGGUAAUGGUAUCUCUCCCCCUCUCAGUUCUGAUAUCUUUUCUUCAUUUAGAUCUCUGGACUCAUGUAAGAUCUAUCUGAAAACUAGAUCCGAACAUUGUGACUAUGAAUAUGUUUGGCUUAGUCUGUUGUGUCAGUGCUUGACAGAUAUUGCAGUAUGAUGUACAAAUUAUACUGUAGGAGGUAGAUGAAGACAUUCAGGUGAGCUAUUUUCUCACUAAUUAUCUGCUAUUUGUUUUCUUAAUCAUGAGACUGAAUAUUUGUGUCUGAUACGGGAAUCAACAUAGGUCUAGAAAAAAGAGAGAUUGCCUCUAGAAAAAGGUGGCUCCACAAUUAGUCAAUACACCUUUAGGAUUAUAGAGCUAGUGAGCACGUCAGGUUUUUGUUAGAAUUUCAGUAGCUUUGCUUUAGCAUUUAGUUAAGACUCAUAUUUUCCUAUAUAUUUUGUUGGCAUUUUAUGGUCUAUCAUGAGCUCAAAGAAGCCUGAUGGUGUUCUUUUUUCAUGCCCGACUGAGAUGACUGAAUCUGUACUCCUGUAUGUGGACAGAGACACAUGUGCAGAACCUGUGAUGGAAAAUGCUCUGGGUAGUUUAUCAUAUCAAAGCUUGUAAUUAUGCUUCCUGGACUGCUGGGGCAUCCAGCCUGUGUCUGCUUUCCGCGUCAUUUCUUCAGCAACAAUCAAUAUAGGUUUCAUGACAUCCCCUACAGGGAACAAUCAGAGGGAAAACUUGAAGACGCUUUAGGUUAUAUGGAGGAUGAUUCAUGUGGUCAAGUGUAUGGCGAGAUUGUGAUGAUGAAUUGAUGACUGCAUGUAUUGAGCCGCUCUCAUGUUCAUUCAUGAGAUUCAGUUCACAAGGUUCUUUGAAUUAAACUAAUAUACUCAUGACAGGCAAAUAUUUCUCAGGUGGAGGAGAUCCCAGCAGUUGACUUGCAGUGUGGAAGAAGGGCAUGAAGAUCAAGGAAGGGACCUGCUGCAUACAAUCACGCCAGACCUGGUGUUCAUCAUCGAUGAUAAGUCGCACAAGGUGUUCACCCGGUACGGAAACUACUUGGUGACCAUGCAUAAUCACAAAGCAAAGGAUUUCCUAUGUGGUUAUGUUAUUUCCCCUUUUGGCUAACGACAACUUUUGUGUUCUUUUAAUUUUGUUUGCUGAUCUACUUGUGCGGAUAAAUUACUGUCAGGUGACCAACUUGGAUGUUAUUAUUCUUAUUUUUAGCAUACGGUAAAUUUAUUUUCUCUUGCUAUGUGCUAUUGUGCAAUUAUACACGAUAUGCGUGUGUGUGUGUAGUAGCACCACUGUUGAGGAAAAUUUUCAGUUCCUUUAUUCAGAACCAUUGCUGCAUGUGGUUUACGAAUUCUUUGAAACAAUGUAACGUGCUUCCUUUUCCUUCUGUAUGCACUUAUUAUCAUUUGCUUGAGCUACAAUUUUGGAUGAUCACUGUCUCAUCACGACUUAGUUUACAGUUUGAUCUUAUUAGAAACUUCUUGCAUUCACUUGCCCUAUAUUUUGUGGGCGACGUCACGCGAGGAGAUUGGUUGGGUGGCGUGAAUGGAGAUACAGGUUCUGGAUUAUUUUAGAUAGUGCUAGGAAUUAUUUAGCCAGCUCUACAUUUUAGCGUGCUCCUUCAUUCUAUAUUAUUUACUGUCGUGCACAUGUGGUGACGAAGGAAGAGCAAAUUAUUUUGUACAAAGGAACAUAAUACUCCUACUAACAAUCACAGCUACUCUCAAUUUCACUGUCGAUCUGCUCUUUCAGGUGUUGCCGGAUUGGCUCAAUUCUUCCUCACGCGUCGUUGGAAGGCUUCGUUGCGUCUCGCCGAAAGGUUGUCAGCCUAAUGGAGGUUGUUGAGAAGACUGUCGAGAUCCUGCCGGUGUCAUGCUGGAAGCUAUGCUGCAGAAGCUGCACCUUUUGGCGGUGCAACUACCUAUUAGAAUUAGUUUGUGUGUGUGUGCGCGCGCUCGCUCGCUCGCAGUGGCCUCUAAGACCGAAUUGCAGUGAUCUUAUUUAGAUGUUAUUUUUGUUAUUUUUAGCUUUAUUUCUAUUUGUCUCUGAAAAACUGCAAGUGUUAACAUAUUUUGCUAUUUUCCUAAUUGCGUGUACGCAUUGUUGUUCCAUUAUGAUUUCAUGUGUUUAACUUAUCGACUUUGUUUUAUAAAUCCUAUAAAAACAUAUUUCCAUUUCCAUUUACAUGUUGAUUUGUUUGAUUUUCACGGGAUCGUUGCAUUUUUAUUUUAUUGCAGUGUUAUGAGAAGGGCAGACCAGUGAGGAUUCAGAUC